rnacentral:rRNA from 1 species
GACGAACGCUGGCGGCGUGCUUAACACAUGCAAGUCGAACGGUGAAGCGCCUUCCUUUUUGGUGGGUGUGGAUGAGUGGCGAACGGGUGAGUAACACGUGAGUAACCUGCCCCCUUCUUCUGGAUAACCGCAUGAAAGUGUGGCUAAUACGGGAUAUUCUGGGUCUGUCGCAUGAUGGGUCUGGGAUAGAUAUUGUUUCGGUGGGGGAUGGGCUCGCGGCCUAUCAGCUUGUUGGUGGGGUGAUGGCCUACCAAGGCGGUGACGGGUAGCCGGCCUGAGAGGGUGGACGGUCACACUGGGACUGAGACACGGCCCAGACUCCUACGGGAGGCAGCAGUGGGGAAUAUUGCACAAUGGGCGCAAGCCUGAUGCAGCGACGCCGCGUGAGGGAUGGAGGCCUUCGGGUUGUGAACCUCUUUCGCCAGUGAAGCAGGCCUGCCUCGUUUGUGGGUGGGUUGACGGUAGCUGGAGAAGAAGCGCCGGCUAACUACGUG